rfam:Pteropus alecto contig64202, whole genome shotgun sequence.
GACUCCAUAGUGUAGUGGUUAGUACGUCUGCUUUACACGCAGAAGUUCCUGGGUUCGCACCCCAGGUGAAGCCA